AGGGAAAGAGGCCAAUGCUACAAGGGUUAUCUCACAACCUCAGAUGGUGGAUAAGUCAAAGGAGGCAGAAUCGCUUCUGGAUGACAUUCAGAGUGAUUAUUUGGAAGAGAAAGCCCUGCUUAUUCUUUCAAAGGUAAACAGUUCAUUUCAUCUAUC
ensembl:misc_RNA predicted gene, 27608